UACGGAGGGGACUAGCGUUGUUCGGAAUUACUGGGCGUAAAGCGCACGUAGGCGGAUUUGUAAGUCAGGGGUGAAAUCCCGGGGCUCAACCUCGGAACUGCCUUUGAUACUGCAAAUCUCGAGUCCGGAAGAGGUGAGUGGAAUUCCUAGUGUAGGGGUGAAAUUCGUAGAUAUUAGGAAGAACACCAGUGGCGAAGGCGGCUCACUGGUCCGGUACUGACGCUGAGGUGCGAAAGCGUGGGGAGCAAACAGG
rnacentral:rRNA from 1 species